UUUCCAGACUCCUACGGGAGGCAGCAGUGAGGAAUAUUGGUCAAUGGGCGGGAGCCUGAACCAGCCAAGUCGCGUGAGGGAAGACGGUCCUACGGAUUGUAAACCUCUUUUGCCGGGGAGCAACGGGGUCCUUGCGAGGGCCCGAUGAGAGUACCCGGAGAAAAAGCAUCGGCUAACUCCGUGCCAGCAGCCGCGGUAAUACGGAGGAUCCGAGCGUUAUCCGGAUUUAUUGGGUUUAAAGGGAGCGUAGAUGGGUUGUUAAGUCAGUUGUGAAAGUUUGCGGCUCAACCGUAAAAUUGCAAUUGAUACUGGCAGCCUUGAGUACAGUUGAGGUAGGCGGAAUUCGUGGUGUAGCGGUGAAAUGCUUAGAUAUCACGAAGAACUCCGAUUGCGAAGGCAGCCUACUAAACUGCCACUGACAUUGAUGCUCGAAAGUGUGGGUAUCAAACAGGAUUAGAUACCCGAGUAC
rnacentral:rRNA from 1 species